UACGUAGGGACCAAGCGUUGUUCGGAUUUACUGGGCGUAAAGGGCGCGUAGGCGGCAUGACAAGUCACUUGUGAAAUCUCUGGGCUUAACCCAGAACGGCCAAGUGAUACUGUCGCGCUAGAGUGCGGAAGGGGCAAUCGGAAUUCUCGGUGUAGCGGUGAAAUGCGUAGAUAUCGAGAGGAACACCUGGAGGUGAAGACGGGUUGCUGGCGCGACACUGACGCUGAGUGCGCGAAAGCCAGGGGAGCAAACGGG
rnacentral:rRNA from 1 species